rnacentral:rRNA from 1 species
CAGUCGCCGCGGUAAGACAGAGGAUGCAAGCGUUAUCCGGAAUGAUUGGGCGUAAAGCGUCUGUAGGUGGCUUUUCAAGUCCGCCGUCAAAUCCCAGGGCUCAACCCUGGACAGGCGGUGGAAACUACCAAGCUAGAGUACGGUAGGGGCAGAGGGAAUUUCCGGUGGAGCGGUGAAAUGCGUUGAGAUCGAAAAGAACACCAACGACGAAAGCACUCUGCUGGGUCGACACUGACACUGAGAGACGAAAGCUAGGGGAGCAAAUGGGAUUAGAUACCCCGGUAGUCCCUGUCUCUUAUAC